rnacentral:ncRNA from 1 species
AAGUUAUUGACCGAGUACCCGUUACGCUGAGAACAGGUAGAUCGUAAAGACGCCGUGAAUCCAUCCUUGGAGGCUCGGGCCGCGCCAUCCUUGGCGCGGACGCUUU